UGCCUCAGUUUCCUUCCCUAAGGCCUUGGAGGAACCUUGGGGUGCAGAAGGAGGAACCCUAAAUGGAGCUCAGACUCCUGGCAAGUGGGGAAAGGAACAUGAAAUGGCGCUUUCCAGAUGAGUCUCAAUACAAUACGAUAAUCUUUAUUGUCAUUGUCCCAUACAGAACAACAAAAUUGAAAAAAUGUACAUCAGACAUUCAAAAACCAACAAGCCUGCUAUCCCAGCUAUCCCAACCUUGUUACCCCCUAAAAACUCUGAUACCCCAUAAUUAAAGAUAAUAUACUCCCAUAGAGACUACCUUACACUGUAUUUAAAACCAAAAUUGCAUUUGGAUAGAAACUGUUUUUCAGGCGGCUAGUCCUAGUCUUUAUAACCCUGUACCACCUUCCAGAAGGCAGAAGCUGAAAGAGAUCAUUUCCAGGGUGCGCACUAUCCUGCACUAUCUCUGCAGCUUUCUUAUCUAGCACCUUCUGCAAAUGCCUGCAGGACCAUGAGUAGUAUGCAUGAAAACAUCAAUGCUAAAUUGAGCAGAUACCCGGAGGCAGCCAGUGUGGUGUAGUGGUUAAGAGCGGUAGUCUCGUAAUCUGGGGAACUGGGUUCGCGUCUCCGCUCCUCCACAUGCAGCUGCUGGGUGACCUUGGGCUAGUCACACUUCUCUGAAGUCUCUCAGCCCCACUCACCUCACAGAGUGUUUGUUGUGGGGGAGGAAGGGAAAGGAGAAUGUUAGCCGCUUUGAGACUCCUGAAGGGGAGUGAAAGGCGGGAUAUCCAAUCCAAUCAAAUCCAGCGCGGAUUAUUGUGGGGGACUUCACUCACACAGAUGUGAGAGCAGUACUCCCAAAAUUCUAUCAGCCCACUGAGUGUGCAAUAAGGGGAGAAAAUACUCUUGACAAGGUGUAUAUGAACAUUAGACAGGCAUAUGAGGCGCACCUCGGUGGUUAAGAUCAUGUGUCCCUGCUUCUGACACCAGUGCACACACCCCUCAGGAAACAAGGCCAGCUACAAACUCGGAUGGUUACGGUGUGGCCUGAGGGAGCCUCUCAGCAGUUGCAGGACUGUUUCCAGGAGACCGAUUGGAAUAUGUUCGACCAUCAAGAUCUAGAAACUUCUACAUCAACGGUCUUAGAUUCGGCACAGGAAACGCACCAGGGAAAGGUAUGUUAAGUUGUAUCCGAAUAGGAAGCCCUGGAUGACAGGAGAGGUUAGGAGAUUCUUGAAGGCCAGAAACUCUGCUUUUAGAACUGGGGACCGGGUACCGUAUGGUAUAGAAAGAGCGAACUUGAAGAGGGGUAUCAGGAAAGCAAAAGUGGAGUACAGAGGAAAAAUUGAGGACCAUCUAAGAAAUGAUACUAGACAAAUGUGGCAGGGAGUUCAACAUCUGACUGGUUAUAAAUCGAGAAAUACAUCAGUGGUAGAGAGUACUGCUUCCUUGGUGGGAGAGUUGAAGAACUUUGCCCGAUUGGAGGUGACACCAACAGUGGCUCCAACAAGGAUGUCAGAGCUAUUGGCCUCACUGCCUACAGGAAAUGCUGCCAGGGUGGAAGAGGGAGAAGCAAGGCGAAUAUGAAAGGAGGUAAACACGAGGAAGGCUAUGGGCCCAGAUGGGGUGGCUGGCAGGGUGCUAAGAGAUUGUUUGGACCAACUGGCAGGAAUCUUUAUGAAGAUUUUUAACCAGUCUCUGGCCCAAGCCGCCGUUCCACCCUGUCUGAAAUCUGGUACCAUCAUACCCCUGCCAAAAAACCCAAAGAUAGACAGUCUGAAUAAUUUUUGCCCUGUGGCGUUGACACCCAUUAUAAUGAAAUGUUUCAAAAAACUGGCAAGGAACCGUAUCAUAUCUUGUCUGCCAGUAGGACUUGACCCUCACCAGUUUGUGUACAAGGCAAAGAGAUCCACGGAGGAUGCUGUGGCUUUACAUGGUGUCCUGACUCAUUUGGAGAAGAAAGGGAACUAUGCGAGAUUGUUAUUUGUACUUCUGCGUUUAAUACUAUUCUUCCGCAUAGAUUGAUGCCCAAACUAUUAGACCUGGGACUUCCACCGUGUUUGUGCAGGUGGAUAUUAGAUUUUCUAUCAAACCGUUCCCAACGGGUCAGGAUGGAUUCCCACGUCUCUGCGGAUCUCAUGAAUAUGGGGGUGCCACAGGGGUGAGUGUUGAGCCCACUCUAUACAGCUCACUGUGCCCCCAAAUACCCCCGUAAUAAGAUCAUUAAGUUUGCAGAUGAUACAACGGUGGUUGGUUUAAUCACGGCUGGAGAGGGGGAGGUGGCCUAUAGGAAGGAUGUUGAGCAGUUGGGGGAGUGGUGCAGGAAAAACAACUUCCUCCUUAGCUGAAAGAAAACAAGAGAGAUUAUUGUGGACUUUAGGAAAUGUAAAUUGAAUAUUCAGCCACUCAUUAUUGAGGGGAAGUGUGUGGAAUGUAGCACUUGGAAUCGCCUCCACGGUCCAGGGACUGAUCCGCCCUGGCUUCCUCCUCGGAGGUCCCUUCAGAAGGAGAAGGGGUCCUGGGUCUCCAUGGGGGAAAGCGUUCCUGAGGCCUGCGUUCGAGGCCAAUGCUUUCGCCUUUCAGGCUCCAGCCCACCUUCUCUCUGGUGUUUUUGUGAGCUGUAGAGAUGGGAUCACAUGCAUUCCCAAGUUUAAUAAGGAUCCCUUGAGAAAGCUGAGAAACCUUCUUCUUUUGCCAGUGAACUUUGCCUCUGCGUGAUUUAUUGGGAACCAGAUGCAUCCGCUCCAAAGAAGCUUCUGCAGCGCCUUGGCAUUGAAGACCCAGAAAAAGAGACGGAGGGGAAUGUGUGGGUCACAAGGUGGGUGUCGUUGGAAAGGAGUUGCUGGGAGAGACAGAAGGUUGUGUUGAGCAGGCGAGGGAAGAGCAGGAGGAGACAGAAAGAGCCCCAGGGAAAGACGAGGUUGGGCUGAGCUGGUGUGGGAAUGAGAGGCAGAGAAUGCAAAGCAACUCCGGAAACGGUGAACAAGGCAAGCUAUGAUCUCGUUUGAGGAAAGGGAAUUGAGAUGCCUGCUUCCCCAUCCCCAGUGGAUUAAAAUGUCCAAAGAUUAGGGAAAGAAGAAAGAAGAGGAAGCAGGAUUGGAUGAACAUCAUAAGAGUCCAUAAUUUUCCAUUGUGACUUGGCUGAGAUUCGUUGGAACAGUUUUUCAAAGGCUUUAUAGAAACUGGACCUAGAAACUGGAGAAAUACUAAUUUGGAUUAUUAGACUGUCUGAGUUGAUUAAGAUUUGAAAGCUGGGCUAGGGAGGGAAAUGAAGGGAAAGUGUCAUCUUGGUGAAGAGGAUAAGAAGAAGAGUUUGGAUUUGAUUUCCUGCUUUAUCACUACCCGAAAGAGUCUCAAAGCGGCUAUCAAUCUCCUUUCCCUUCCUCCCCCACAACAAACACUCUGUGAG